rnacentral:rRNA from 1 species
UACGUAGGUGGCGAGCGUUGUCCGGAAUUACUGGGCGUAAAGGGCGCGUAGGCGGCUCUUUAAGUCAGAUGUGAAAACCCAGGGCUUAACUUUGGGAGUGCAUUUGAAACUGAAGGGCUUGAGUGCAGGAGAGGUAAGUGGAAUUCCUAGUGUAGCGGUGAAAUGCGUAGAUAUUAGGAGGAACACCAGUGGCGAAGGCGACUUACUGGACUGUAACUGACGCUGAGGCGCGAAAGCGUGGGGAGCAAACAGG